UGGAGACUGCCGCGCACAUGGCGGAAAGGUGCCCGACUUUCUUACAGUUAACGCAGAAUGGUUCAUCGACGCAGGCGGCCUGGACGUGACCCUGCUUGCCGCAGUUGUAGCACGUGAUGUGGGCCGCAUCAAGACUGGGGGCCCCAGCCCCUCCUGGGCCGGUGACCUGUCCUGAGCUAGGAGCAGAGACCUCCCCUGGGGUCCCGUGGGGCUGGCGAAGGGGCCUCCUGCCCGCAUUCCGGCCGGAGUCGCGGCCACGAGGGGGAGGUGGAGGUGGCGGCGGCGCGCGCGAUUCCUGUCGUGAGCGUUCCCCCUCGGAACGCCAGGACGAGGAGCUCGCACGCUCCGCCUCACGGUCGCAUUGACGCUGUUGCCGACGGUGCUCUUCCUGCUCUCUGUCGAGCCUCUGGCGCAGAUCUUGGUCGCGGGAGCGGGCAUAGCCCUUGUUGAACUCGUCGAAGGGACGCUUGCCGUGGGAGUUCCUCUCCCUCUCCAUGGCCACGAGGAGAGGAGCACGAACUCCGGAGACGGGGUCGAGGUGGGAGGACAAACGCUUGGCGGCGGAGAGGUUGCGGCGGACGUCAGAGGCGGAGGCAGGAAAGCCGAGAAGUGGAUCUAGGGUUUGGGGAGGGAGCCAGAGCCACUUAAAAGUGGGCGGCGGAGGGGCAGAACCGUCCCACCUGGGAACCCUAGAGCCACCCAACCGUCCAUCCACCGCGAGGGCGACGUGGCGUGCAUCCAACGGGUCCGAUCCAGGGGCACCCGCGGAACCUGGGCUGACCGCACCUUGGGCCGGCCCAAUCCUCAACUGGGCCGUCGAGGCCGCAACCCUCCCGUGGGCCGACCCAGCGGGCCCAACAGUCCCCAGCACCCCAGCAUCCAAGGGAGGAGCAAACCCUAGCGGCGGCGGCGUCCCUCCCGCCUCCGGCCGCCCUACGGCCGACGGCAGCUCCAGAACAUGCUCACCGACGCGGAUCAGACCAGAUCCAGAGCCCUCCCGACCAACCUCGGAGAGGCCCCUCCCCACGGGCGCCAAACCAGGCAGCGGAGGGAAGUGGGACGGCGACGAGAGUGGCGGGGGCAGCGCCGGCGAGAUGCUCCUCUCCCUCGAGGAGCCACUGACGAGCACCAGCGGCGGACCAUCCACCCGCUCAGGCCAGAACCUCCCCAGAUUCGACGGAGCUAGGGGCAGCGGUCGCGCCUCCACGUCUUCCGGCUCGCAGCUCUCCCCAUCUGAGAGCUCCUGGGCCGAGCCCUCGGCCUCGGCGACGGCGGCGGCCAGGUGGGAGAAGCGAUUCCCCUUGCUCCCCGGCGAAACGCAGGGCGGCGGGCGGCGCGGCGGCGGGCGGCGUUCCGGGAGGACGAGCUCCCAGUCGCCCCCCGAGUCGCCCGAGUCGCAGCGCGCUGUUAGACACAUCUUUCUUUCUUUUCGAAAUCGAUCUACCGACUGCAGAACAAUGGCGUGGAGUUUCCCUCGGUCAUCGUGCUAUCUGCUACUAAUUAAUGAGAUUCUUUAUUUGACAUUCCAAAUCCAGGGUGUGUCACGGCCAAAUGCACAGAUCUGUGGGCAGUUUUGCUGAUCUCCUACGCCUUCAGAUCCGAAGGUCUAUCCAGGUGAAUAAAUAACUAAUUUCGCAUUUGGAUUAGAUUAGAUGUCUAAUGCUCACCCUCUCGGACAUGUAUAUGUCAUUCAUGGGACCUGUGAUUUCUUAAAUGGUUGCAUUUGUUCUAUUAUUGUAUUUUUUGAUCGGAGUUGGAACUCCACAAGAUAAUUUUUACUCUUUACUAUUUAUCAUAGAUAAUUAUCGUACAGAAAAUAUCUGACAUGGCUUACUGUUCUGAAGGGAAAAAAAUAAAUUGAUUUGUGUUGUUCUUUUUCCGAGCAUUGCUUCAUAUACCAGAUCGUCCCAUCAAGUUGAACCGGCAAAACAGCAGGAGCAAGUCGAUCAUGCUCCUUGUUCUAUAGCACAUUGGAAGAGGUGUUGGGCACCAACAAACACAUCAUUCUUGUAGUACAAGAUGUAGUUAGGCAAGAAGGUAAUGAUUUAUGACCUGUAGAGAGGAAAUAAGGUGAUGAUUUAUGACCUGCUGCUUUUUAAUGCAUGCUUAUGCACUAAUUCAAGUUUAUCUAGUCCUUGAUUUUUCUUAAAAAAAAUAUUUCAUUGGUGCAGUUAAUAAUAUCUCAUUUUCGAAUAACAAGUAUUUUUUGGCGAAUCUUAAAGACUAUGUGGCACAAAAGGCAAACCUACAAGAAGUAAACCGAACGAACCUGGUAUUAAUUGUAUGACUUAUGAUCGAUAGAUUGAAUAUUACUGCACACAGAAUCCCUUGUUUCUGCUUCAUGGUGCUUCCGGUACAUGUUUCUCUUAUUACCAGCAAAGAGAUGUAUAUAGUUUUUGUAGCUAUCCUGCAGCUAAUGGAAAAAAGACAGGUCGGUCAACAUUUUCGUUUAUAUUUGUGUCCCAUUUUCGUUUAUGUUAGUAUGUCAAGCUUUUCCUACUAUGGUAAAAUCUUCCUAUUUGUUUAGCAGUAGCAUUUGUACUUAGUAGUAGAUUUUAUACAUGAUGUGUAGUUAGCUAGUUCAACUAGUCUCUAGCUGAUGGAAAGCAGGUUCAGUCAACCAUAGAUUUUAUACUAUGUAAUGUUGAAAUAUACUGUAGUCCAUAUUCUACUAUUUUAGUGUAUUUAACAUUCUACUAUUUUAGUGUGUUAGUGGUACACUUUGCUGCAGAAUGAAGAAGAAUGAGGAAGAACACAGCGCACCAAGAUUAUAGGUUCAAAGACAAUUGAAUAGUGAGAUCCUAUGGUUGAUGUUGUGCUCGCGCCAAGAAGCUUUUUUCAACGGAAGACUAGAAAUAGCAACAUAUGUAGUGUUUAUCGAUGGAAUGAAGAAUGUAAUAUAUUUGUGAGAGUGCCUUCCAAAUAAUUUAAAUGUAAUGCAUGAUACAUUAGUGAUGUCACACUUUA